rnacentral:rRNA from 1 species
AUUCAGACAUUCAGUGAGUACAAGAAGUGGUUAGUGGAGCAGAUNNNNNNNNGGGGGGUGCUGAAGUUGCCAGAUUUGCAGAAGCUUAGCCUCAAAUGUAGCUCUUGGAUAAUGAGCAGGGUUAGCGUCAGCCGUAGGGAGAUUAAACUUAGAGAGAACAAGGUGCUCAAGUUCUGGCCGGAGGAUGUUUACAAGGUGUUUGGCAUCCCAUGCGGCCAUCGAAAUGUCAAAGGCAGGGAUGCCAAUAUCAAUCCAGAAGCUGUCGAUUUUAUAAAGACAACACUUCAGAUGAACAAGACUGGGGUUCAUAGCCUGCGGGCAGCUGAAGAUUUCUUGUUGCGCGACAUCAACGACAACUCCAGUAAGCUGGAAAAGGAUUGCUUCUAGAUUGCGUUUGUCAUUUUUGUGAUGGGACAUGUCCUUGUGCCAACCACGAAGCACAACUACACGACUAUUGAUUAUUGGGGGGCGAUUGCGAACAUUGAAGCUAUAGAUUAG